GUGCGCAUGCGCAAGCGAAUGCCACGUGAUUAAGCAGUGAGGUGAAGCGCUCGUUCAGGGCCAGGAGCGGCGUAAGGACGCAUGAAGGUAGCUUUGGAGCCACCUUAUGCUGAGGAAGCACCAAGGAAGCCUUCACCGAAGGCCCCUCAAUAGUAGUAACUGUAUAUGCGCAAUUGAAAAGGCGUUCGUCCUCUGCCAAUUAUUGGGUCUCCAUUUACUUCAUUGGAAGCUGUUGAAUGAUAAAUGCUACGAAAAAAUAUUUACCACCGCCUGGGUCGACGGCAAUCUG